rnacentral:rRNA from 1 species
GUCGAACGCACUCUCGUUUAGAUUGAAGGAGCUUGCUCCUGAUUGAUAACAUUUGAGUGAGUGGCGGACGGGUGAGUAACACGUGGGUAACCUGCCCUAAAGUGGGGAUAACAUUUGGAAACAGAUGCUAAUACCGCAAUAAACCCAACACCGCAUGGUGUAGGGUUGAAAGAUGGUUUCGGCUAUCACUUUAGGAUGGACCCGCGGUGCAUUAGUUAGUUGGUGAGGUAAAGGCUCACCAAGACCGUGAUGCAUAGCCGACCUGAGAGGGUAAUCGGCCACACUGGGACUGAGACACGGCCCAGACUCCUACGGGAGGCAGCAGUAGGGAAUCUUCCACAAUGGACGAAAGUCUGAUGGAGCAACGCCGCGUGGGUGAGGAAGGUUUUCGGAUCGUAAAACUCUGUUGUUGGAGAAGAAUGUAUCUGAUAGUAACUGAUCAGGUAGUGACGGUAUCCAACCAGAAAGCCACGGCUAACUACGUG